GUUUGCCUGAUGCAAUUCCAAGCCUGACUUUGGCUUAGUGAUUUGGUGGUCCCAAGAUUUAUUUUCCUUUCAUAUUCCCAUGUUUACCUGAAGUAUGCAUGCUAAUUAAUUUGUUUUUCUCCUCUUAAUGUCUUUUUUGUUGUAGGGACCCAUUCCAACUGAGAACUUUAAAGGUAGAGAGAAAAUUAUAUUUUCCUCCUCUACAGUAUUAAUGUCUUAUUGGAAUGUGUUGUGAUCGGAGAAGAUUGUUUAUAUUAUAUCUAUUUCAUAGAUGAUUGAUAUCCCUUUGUAACACAGUAUGGAUAAUCUUCAUGAAUGUUCUUUGUGCUCCUGAAGAGAAGACGGAGUCUCUGUCAUGCAGUG
rnacentral:lncRNA from 1 species